AUUGAACGCUGGCGGCAGGCCUAACACAUGCACGUCGAACGAGUGGCGGACGGGUGAGUAAUGUCUGGGAAACUGCCUGAUGGAGGGGGAUAACUACUGGAAACGGUAGCCAAUACCGCAUACCAUCAGAUGUGCUCAGAUGGGAUUAGCUUUGUGGUGGGGUAACGGCUGACCAAGGCGACGAUCCCUAGCUGGGCUGGGAGGAUGACCAGGCACACUGGAACUGAGACACGGUCCAGACUCCUACGUGAGGCAGCAGUGGGGAAUAGUGGACAAUGGGCGCGAGCCUGAUGCAGCCAUGCCGCGUGUAUGAAGAAGGCCUUGGGGGUGUAAAGUACUUUCAGCGGGGAGGCGUUACCCGCAGAAGAAGCACCGGCUAACUCCGUGCCAGCAGCCGCGGUAAUUC
rnacentral:rRNA from 1 species